AGAGUUAAUUUAUCAAUUAGAUAGAUAGAUUCAUUAAGUCAAAUUAGCUACUGGAAGAACACGUAUCCCUCAACUUUCCACGCAGCUUUUCAUAAACCGACUCCAAAUCAUAUAAAAUCUCUCCUCAGGAUUUUUCCUCAUUCUGCAAGAUCUUAAAUACACCGGCAAAAUACCAUCCCAAAUCCGACUCAACCACGAUCAUUUACAAUUCCCAGCAGUUCAUAGCAGCAUCAAGCAAAGCAGGUUAAGCUGUGAUGCAGAUGGAUGUCAGCAGAGCAAAGCUUUUGAUAUAUAAGCACUAAAUUAGGCUCAGGAUUCCAUGUCUUCAUACAUGUAAUCCACUUAAGCUAUUCCGCUGCAACGCUUAGUGCGUUUUACUUUAUUGAUGUGUUGCAAAGAUUUCAAACUAAUAGCUUACAGAAUUAUGUCACUUGAUACUUAGACAACUUGUCGUUAUGUAUUGCGAGUUGUCUGCUUUUGAGUUUUAGAAAAGAUUGUUUAUGAUUACCAAAUAUUUUGGUAAAUUAUUGUUUAAGCAUGUUAGUGAUUUUUAUUGAGAUCUAUUUUCUUUUUU